UGGGGAAUAUUGCACAAUGGGCGCAAGCCUGAUGCAGCAACGCCGCGUGAACGAUGAAGGUCUUCGGAUCGUAAAGUUCUGUUGCAGGGGAAGAUAAUGACGGUACCUCAAGAAAAAGCCCCGGCUAACUACGUGCCAGCAGCCGCGGUAAUACGUAGGGGGCUAGCGUUGUCCGGAAUCACUGGGCGUAAAGGGUUCGCAGGCGGAAUAACAAGUCAGAUGUGAAAGGCAUGGGCUCAACCCAUGUAAGCAUUUGAAACUGUAAUUCUUGAGAAGUGGAGAGGUAAGUGGAAUUCCUAGUGUAGCGGUGAAAUGCGUAGAUAUUAGGAGGAAUACCUGUGGCGAAGGCGACUUACUGGACACAAAUCUGACGCUGAGGAACGAAAGCGUGGGUAGCAAACAGG
rnacentral:rRNA from 1 species